UAAAUUGUCAGUUUGUGUAACUCGGUUGAUUCCUGGAUGAGGGUCUUAAUGCACAAAUUAGUUCGGAAAUUACUUGUGAAUUUCUGGGUGUGACAAGUUGGUAUCAGAGCCAUCUCGACUAUAGGUCAAGCCAAACGGUUAAACCCAUAAGGACAUGUCUUUGCUAAAACAAAAAUCUAUUUGCAAAAGUCUGUUUUCCUCCUUAUCCCAUUGCUCCUUGUAAAAGCUUUUCUCAUCCUCCCUUCCCCGUCUUUCAACUUGCUUUAGAUGAAUCUCUACAAGGAGAGGUUGGAAAAGAUGAUGGCACGCUUUGAUGAAAUUUGGGGUGAUCUGCCCAAAAAGAUUGAUCAGAUUAAUGAGAGAAGAGAAGCUCUGGAAAUCAAGGCAUUAUUCUAAAGGAAGCUGAGAAAUAUGGGAACUAUGGUUUUACAAGUGAGCUUUGUCGUAUGACGUAUGAUCUUGGAUAUGAGGUUCCACCAAAGUACACUAAAGUAUCUACUCAUGUUGGAGACCAAUUGCAUUGCAAGACAACUGUUACUCUUGUUUCCGACAAGGAAGAUCUUCCCCAGCUAUCAUUCAAUGGCAAAGCUAAUUGUUUCUUGUAUGCUCGUGAAGGUGUCGCUUCGCCAAUUGUUUCUUUUAUGCUUGUAAAGGAGUCGCAUAUGAAGCUUUGUGUCGUCGCGGUCGUCAUUUCAAGAAUCGUCUGGAGAAUUUUACAUAUCACUACCAUCUGAAACAUGGUGAUGAUUUUUGGUUGAAUGGUUGUACGCGUACCCAAGGAGAAGAUAACCAAAUGAUUGUGCAUAUGACUACAAUGUUGGAUGCUAUUGAUGACCUCCACAUUAAUUACAAGACUCAAGCCAUAAAUCAGAAGCAUGCCCAACAGGAGAAAAUUGCCAAGCUAUAGAAGAUGGUUGAACAAAUGGAAGACAUGUCUCAACCUGAAGAUAGUGACACCGCCAAGAUGUUGAAAUUUACAGAAGCUCGUUUUGCCCAGUAUCGCAAAGACACCAAUCGUAAGCUCGUUCUUCGCUAGAAGAGGACCUUCGAAUUAGAUGAUGAACUGCAGAAGUUGAAAGGAGAACCUUCAUCGGAUGAAGAUGAUUAGGAAGAUGUAAAGCCUACUCAAGUUGUCAAGCGUCUCUACACUGGAGUUAUUAUUUCUCUCAUAGAAGGAUGAUUCCCGUGAAGAUGAGUCACUUGAGAAGCCCCAAGUUCAAAGGUAGAAUAGAGAAGUUUUAAGCACCUAUGACAGAACCUAAGCUUUACCCUCAAGAGUAGUGGUCUUUUGUUUAGUUAAAUCGUUGUGUUAGCUUGCUUGCUUAAGUUUUAUUUGUGUGUGUGUGGGUUUUAGCGUAUGGGAUAUAUCAAGGGUUGUAAUAUAACCAUACUAGUUCUAGAGUUCAGUUCAGCGUUAAAGGACAACCUAUUUCACAUCAAUAAAAAUUAAAGUUUAGUAAAAAAUAUAUAUAUAUUCUAUUCUAUAUGCCCUGCUACUCUCUUAACCCUUUCUAUCUCUCUCUUACCUCCUACCUAAGAGAAUGGAUUUAAGCAAAGGAAGUUUUGUGCUCAUCAGUGGCAGUGGUUUUAAUAACAAGUUAACAGUUAAGGAACAAUGUGUCUGGAUCUCCAAAUAAACUUCAUCCUGAUGCUGAUGUGGACAACACAAUCAGUCAUCCAAGGAAAGUUAAAAGUCAGAAGCUCAAGGGAUACCAUUGAAAAAAAUUUCAAGAGAAUUCUUUACAUUUGGUCUCAUUCGGUUUAAGGUUCCAAGUUUGAUGUGAGCAAGAGUCAUGAAGGAAUAAGAAAGAUAAAAGCUUACAUCUAUGUCAUCAAGAUGAUUAUUAUCACUACAGUGUGGUUUAUAGAAGGAAUGAUUAUAUCAAGGUGUCUGAAAGGACAAUUCUUUUUGCACUAUUUUUAAGUCAAGAGAAUAGUGUCAAUAAGGCUAAGACAUUAAACAAUGAGGAAUGUAAAGAGAUGUUGAUUUAGAAGAAAAAAUAGCAAGAAGAUUCAAUUCUCACGUGUUCAAUGUGAAGUAAAUGGAGGAUAAAGUUUGCAUUGUUAUGGAAAAGUGAACACAUUAAGUAGAGCAAUUAUUCAUGUUAUCAUGGUAAUGGAAUAUCAAGUGAAGGCUCGGUUCAUAAAAGAUUUGUCUUUUGAUUAAUGGAAUAGAUCAGGAGAUAAUGAUUGCUAGCCCAAUUCAGUAAUAGUCAGGCUCGUGAAGGAUGACAAAAGUUGUAAUCGAUCAUUGGACGGUUUCUUGUUGAUGGCAGUAAUCAUGACAUUAUUUCUGUUAAUAGUAACCAAAUAAUAUCGUCAGAUGUGAUCAGCAAAAGUAUCAUCAACAAAGGUUCAAGUUUGUAUAUGUUUUGGUUUGAGUAAGAAGAUAGCGAAUGAAAAGGAAUGCACCCCUUUCAUGUUGAGGGAUUGGUAUGUGUUAAUUGUUUGAGUCAAGAUAUUUUUGGAGAGACUAUACUAAAGAUAUGCUUUUUGUCUGGACUAAAUAAUGUGAAGCAGUUUCUAAGGGAAGCUUGUCAUUGAAAUUUCCAUAUCAAUAGUCAAUCAAGUAAGAUGGAUAUUAUCAAUAGAUGGUUGCACAUAUGAUUCUACCCUAGAUGGUUGCAGUAAAAGCCAUGAGAAUUGGAGCAAGUUCGAAGUGUAAUAACAACUGAUGCAAGAUGUCAGUCACAACAAUAUUCUCUAUUGCAUCUUGAUUAGAUUAUAAGUAAAAGGACGAGUUAACUACGUUACCAUUUACCCAAAUGGAUGAAAGGCCAUCCAAUGUCUAUAUUGCAAAGGAUCUAUAAUAGUUCAAGAGAUUUAAAUGGUUUGCGUUUUCAUGAAUAAAAAAAAUGGCUCCGAUAGGUGCAGUAAUGGAUAGUCAGAGGAUAAGAUAUGGAUCUAAGCAAUCAGUUCAUUCAUGUAUUCCUGUUUGUCAAAGAUAUAUGAGAUUCAAAGUUGUUUUAUGGAAUGCUAGUCUGUUUAAAGGUUGUGGAAUCAGUUAAAGAGAGUGAGACUAUGGAUUCUACGAUGUUGUAUUGGAAUCUUAUAAUUGCCACAUGAACCUUAAUAUUUAUCGAAGGUUAGAGGUGUACUCAUGUGAAAUGGAUGUUUAUGGCAACUCAGGAAAACGAGAAUAAAGACGAAGUGAUAAUUAAUCAAGGAAUAUAAUGUCGUAGGGGAAGUCCCCUACACCAGAGGUUACUCGAAAGCACUAAAGAAGGUUUAUACUCUACUAAUAUGGUACAAGGACAAGAAUGGUUUGCUUGUCGACAUACAAGUUUUGACGAAUCACUACAAAGUUUUUGUGAGAUAGCAGAUGGAUCAUUUUACCAGUUACACAUACACCAAUGGGACAAAGAUGAUCGUUGACAUCACUACUAGGUUAAUCUGAAGUAUGAAGAUGAUAACAAGGAGAAGGAUACAUAGAAAGGUGAUAAAUAAAGAGUCAAUUGAAAUGGAACAAUAAUCCCUAGGAUAGUUAGAUCAAGUGUGGAGUUCUUUAAUUCAAGGUAUUUUGGAACUGCACAAGCCAUAAAAUACUGUUGCAAAGUGGUUUGCAUCGAUGUUAGAAUAAAUGUCUUGUCAGUCUGUCUGCAAGAUUGAUGGCAAACCUAUACAAGAAGUUGUAUUGGAAUCUAGAACCUAAAAGGUUAAGAAGUCACCGUUACAUGAAAUAAUUCAAUAAUAUUUGAGAUAGAAACAAUAAUUGUUUUCACUGCAAAAAGAUGAACGGCGGAUCAAAGAAGAUACUUCAAGAUCAGCUGUCAAUUAAAGUAUUUGUAAGCCCGGAUUAAGAAGGCUCAGAUAUUUCGUUAAUAUACUUUAUGGAUAAGAAACUUGUUUCCAUAUAUAAGAUAAGAGGAAAUCGUUUUACUAUGGAAGGUUGGAUUCGGUCAAAUGUUAAAUGUUGUUUUUCUCAGAAAGGUGAAAUCAUGAGAACUAAAUCAACUUCAGUCAUAAGUGAGGUUUCUAUGGACUUGAUAAAGUCCAGGGUGCUCAGAGAAGAAGAUAGACCAAACCCUAUCGUAUUCACACAAGACUUUGUGAUUUGAGAUCUUUCAGUCAAUAUUCUAAGGGUCGAGAGGAUAAUGUUUUCAGUAAAAUUGACCUAUCAAUAUCUGCAUAAGGAUUAAGUUAAGUGUUAUGUUCUAUUGGAAAAAAAAAGUCAGAGAAAGGUAUGUUAGAUUGGCUAGUUAGUUUGACAGAGUGGUUAGUGAAGGAUUGCCCUACCCAAUUUCUUGCUAGCCGUUCCAAAUCUCGGGAUGAGAUUUCUGUAAGGGGGGUGGAUUUGUCACACCCUGAAAAUCGCUAAAUUAUAAAUUGUUGUGAAAAAGGAAUUUUUAGAAUUUAUUUAAUAAUUAAAGUAAGUGUUUGAAUAGAAUCUAUGAAAAUUUUGAACAUUAAAUUGAGAUAGAUAAAAUUUUAUUAAAUAUUUUUAGUGUCCAAGUAUUUUCUGGAUUUUUCCCGGAAUUAUUUGAGCAUUAUAAGUAUUUUUAAUAAAUGAAACAUCAUUUCAGCAAUUAUUUAAAUUAGAAAUUCAAUUAAAAUUCUCCUCCCUUGUCUUGGGCUGAAUCUGGUCCACUCCUUCCUUACCCUUCGGCCUGUUCUUCCUCUCUCAGCCGAAGUCCAGUUUUCAUCCCCUACAAUCGGGCCAAGUAAAGAAAAAAAGGAAGCCCAGGAAAAGUCUACUUUGCCUCCCCUCGCUACAGUACCUUCUUCCUGCUCCAGCCGAGCCUGAACAGAGCCCGAGCCGUGUGCGUGCGCCGCCGCUUCCUUCGCAAAAUCCAUCACAUCCUGUGCUCCGUUUCCAAAAUUGGUUGCAAAAACAGAUUUCCCUCGAUCUCCUCUACCUUAUCCCUAACAAACCCCUUUGAAUACCGUUGUAUAUUGCGUGAAUUCGACACGGUUUCGAGCUCCGUUUUUCUGGCGAACCCUAGCUAAUCCGCCGCCUAUCCCUCCCGUAUCCAAGCCGAUCUCCUCCUUUGGCUAUAAAUAGCAGAUGCUCUGCCUCCUCUUCCGUUUCCCCUCUUUUUCCUGAGCCGCCGUGCCCCAGCCGCCUCUCCCCACGCUAGCCACUCUCUCCACCGCCGGCCGCCAACUCCAGCCGAGUCGCGCCGCCUCUCCGGUCGUCCCCGAUCUGCGCCGUCGCCUCCCUCGGCUUUGUAGUGAAGAGCUCUAUCCCGGCCACCCGUUCUUUUGCCCUGAACCCCGCCGGAAGUCGUCAUCACUGUGAAGGCCGAACCGUCGCCAUGUUUUGAUCUCCGGCGAAGCUUUGCCGUCGACUCCGUGGUCGCCGAACCCCGCUGUCUCCUCCGUUGGCAUCGCAGCGACAACAGCAAGCAUGGCAGCCGCCCCCGUGAAGCCACAAGCCAUCGGAGCGUCAUCGUCACCGUGAAGCCGAUCUAAUCCAUCUUCAGCCGUGCCGCUCAUCGCCGUCCAUCGCCGCCUUCGUUCGCUGUCGCCACCCACGGGAUCGCAGGAGGGAGGUGAAGACUGUCCGCCCCUUAGUUGCUGCCUCCCCUCGUCAAAACGCCGCCGUCAUCGUGGACAGAGCCACGCCGCCGCUUAAUCUCGUCGCCGGCCAUCUCCCGUCAUCGUCCGUGGUCAUGCCGGCCCUUGGCUUGGGAGAAGAACUUCAGGGUGUGACACCUCGCGAUUCCCAACCCUAACCGCCGUCUCCCCGCCCCAAAGGUCUCCGGCGCGUGCUCCCCCCAACCACCGGCGCCGAUUCCCAACCCUGCACGCCGGAAGCUCUCCCAUCGCCAGGUGUUAUAUAUAAUUUUGAGAUACCGGUCACGCCGACGCCGUCUUCUCCCUACUUCACCCGCAGGGUGAAACGACAGUUGAAGGUUACUAGAGCGUUUGGUGCAGGCUUUCUAAAUAAGAUACAAGUGAAGCUAUUUGUGUGAGCUCUAGCUGUACCAAAAUCUCUCGAGUUACAUUGUUGAACAAAGUUGGUAUUGGCUGUGCAACCAGAUCAGUCGCACAGGACUUUGUCCAAAUUGUGUGUGUCAUUCCUAAUGGAUGCAUAAACAAUAAUAAAACUUUUGUAUGCGAUAUGUGUUUGAUCCUAUGAAGAAUGUGAGGGGGAUUUGGGUGAUCUCACCAGCUGUUGGCUCUUACAUGGCAUGAUUUACAGUGUGUAAAAAAACAUGACGUGCUCUGUAAGAAUUGAUGAGUCUUGUUCAAUAUAAAAGCAGAACUAUCGAUAUGCCGUGGAUGAA